rnacentral:rRNA from 1 species
AUUGAACGCUGGCGGCAUGCCUUACACAUGCAAGUCGAACGGUAACGGGCCUUCGGGUGCCGACGAGUGGCGAACGGGUGAGUAAUAUAUCGGAACGUGCCCAGUAGUGGGGGAUAGCCCGGCGAAAGCCGGAUUAAUACCGCAUACGACCUGAGGGUGAAAGCGGGGGAUCGCAAGACCUCGCGCUAUUGGAGCGGCCGAUAUCAGAUUAGCUAGUUGGUGGGGUAAAGGCCUACCAAGGCAACGAUCUGUAGUUGGUCUGAGAGGACGACCAGCCACACUGGGACUGAGACACGGCCCAGACUCCGACGGGAGGCAGCAGUGGGGAAUUUUGGACAAUGGGCGCAAGCCUGAUCCAGCAAUGCCGCGUGCAGGAAGAAGGCCUUCGGGUUGUAAACUGCUUUUGUCAGGGAAGAAAUCUUCUGGGUUAAUACCUCGGGAGGAUGACGGUACCUGAAGAAUAAGCACCGGCUAACUACGUGCCAGCCGCCGCAGUAAUAC